UCCCACUGCCCACUGAUGAGCAGAUUUGAGGGAGGCCCAGGGACUGUAGUGUGAGUAGUGAUAAGACAAAGUCACCCUCCACACUGUCACCCUCUAUAUUGUCACCCUCCAUGCUGUCGCCCUCCAGGAAGUCACCCUCCACACCAUCACAGGCACAUUCUCUUAAUCUUUUUUGGUGUUGUUUGUUUGUUUGUUUGUUUGUUUUUCAAGACAGGGUUUCUCUGUGUGGCCCUGGCUGUCUUGGAACUUGCUCUGCAAACCAGCGUGACCUUAAACUCAAGAGAUUCUCGGGUCUGCCUCAGCCUCCGGAGUUCUGGGAUUAAAGGUGCUGCACCACCACCACCUGGCACCUUAUAAUCUUUUAAGAACUGGACUCAGGAAAAAGAUGAGGUAUAACUGAAGGCUAUAACCGAGUGGUCUUCCUCCAUCUGCCACCAUACCAUCUCACCAAACUGCACGUACCAGCUGAAGUGUCGUGUGGGAAAUAUUUCAUGCUGAAACCAUAUCCAGGAUGCCAGCCUAUGGGAUGGUGCUGCCCACAAUUAGCGUGGGUCUCCCUACCUCAGCUAACCCAAUGGAGCAGCUCCCUCACGGACGUGUCCAGAGGUCUGUCUUCAAGGUGGCUUUAGACCUGCCAAGUUGACAGUAAAUACCAACCACCACACACAACAUUCACGUUCAUUCUUCGGUGGAACCUGCGCUUCUAAAGGUCAGACUUAUGUGCUUUAAAAUUAGACCAGAGCCUUGUCCAGUAUUCGCACAAUCACAGAGUUCUGCAAAAUCAUUUGCUGAACCUCGGCAAGGUUCAUAUGAGAGGCCACCUGAUGCUACAGCUUGCCCUUCUGAGUUAUUUUUCCCCACGAAGAGGGAGAAAAUGGUUCCAAGAUUGAUAAGGAAAAUAAUAUAAUGAGCUAUAAACUGAUUCCAGUACUCACUGAAGGCAUGUGGAGAACAAAGGAUUUCCAUGAAUUGCUGUUGGGUGUCUGAAGUGUUUCUGCUUCCUUGGAGAGCAGUUUGGCAGUUUCUAUUAAGAUGAAAAAAAAUUAUACAUUCCCUUAGACCUGUCAACUACAAAUUGUAGGAAUUUAUCCUAUAGAAACAAAAGUAACAAUGUAUUAAGCAUAUGUUAACAUGUUUUCUUUUAUUACAUUGUGAUAGCAAAGUAGUGGCGAAUAUAUGGAUGUCUAACCACAGUGAGACUGCUGAAUAUAUUGUGGUGUUUAAAGAUACUAUGAAAUCUUAUGCAG
rnacentral:lncRNA from 1 species